rnacentral:rRNA from 1 species
GGAAUUUUCCGCAAUGGGCGAAAGCCUGACGGAGCAAUACCGCGUGAGGGAUGACGGCCUUCGGGUUGUAAACCUCUUUUAUCAAGGAGGAAGUUCUGACGGGUACUUGAUGAAUAAGCAUCGGCUAACUCCGUGCCCGCAGCCGCGGUAAGACGGAGGAUGCAAGUGUUAUCCGGAAUCACUGGGCGUAAAGCGUCUGUAGGUGGUUUAAAAAGUCUGCUGUUAAAAAUUGAAGCUUAACUUCAAGGGUGCCGUAGAAACUUUUAAACUCGAGGAUGGUAGGGGUAGAGGGAAUUUCCAGUGGAGCGGUGAAAUGCGUAGAUCUUGGAAAGACCACCAAUGGCGAAGGCACUCUACUGGGCCAUUACUGACACUAAGAGACGAAAGCUAGGGGAGCAAAU